AUUGAACGCUGGCGGCAUGCCUUACACAUGCAAGUCGAACGGUAACAGGUCUUCGGAUGCUGACGAGUGGCGAACGGGUGAGUAGUACAUCGGAACGUGCCUAGUAGUGGGGGAUAACUACUCGAAAGCGUGGCUAAUACCGCAUGAGAUCUACGGAUGAAAGCAGGGGAUCGCAAGACCUUGUGCUACUAGAGCGGCCGAUGGCAGAUUAGGUAGUUGGUGGGAUAAAAGCUUACCAAGCCGACGAUCUGUAGCUGGUCUGAGAGGCCGAUCAGCCACACUGGGACUGGAACACGGCCCAGACUCCGACGGGAGGCAGCAGUGGGGAAUUUUGGACAAUGGGCGAAAGCCUGAUCCAGCAAUGCCGCGUGCAGGAUGAAGGCCUUCGGGUUGUAAACUGCUUUUGUACGGAACGAAAAGCCCCGGGUUAAUACCCUGGGGUCAUGACGGUACCGUAAGAAUAAGCACCGGCUAACUACGUGCCAGCCGCCGCCGUAA
rnacentral:rRNA from 1 species